AGAAAUUCCAAUCGAACCUGGAGAUAGCUGGUUCUCUCCGAAAUAGCUUUAGGGCUAGCCUCAAGUGAUGAUUAUUGGAGGUAGAGCACUGUUUGGACGAGGGGCCCCUCUCGGGUUACCGAAUUCAGACAAACUCCGAAUGCCAAUUAAUUUAACUUGGGAGUCAGAACAUGGGUGAUAAGGUCCGUGUUCGAAAGGGAAACAGCCCAGACCACCAGCUAAGGUCCCAAAAUAUAUGUUAAGUGGAAAAGGAUGUGGCGUUGCCCAGACAACUAGGAUGUUGGCUUAGAAGCAGCCAUCAUUUAAAGAGUGCGUAAUAGCUCACUAGUCGAGUGACACUGCGCCGAAAAUGUACCGGGGCUAAACAUAUUACCGAAGCUGUGGAUUGUCCUUUGGACAAUGGUAGGAGAGCGUUCUAAGGGCGUUGAAGCAUGAUCGUAAGGACAUGUGGAGCGCUUAGAAGUGAGAAUGCCGGUGUGAGUAGCGAAAGACGGGUGAGAAUCCCGUCCACCGAUUGACUAAGGUUUCCAGAGGAAGGCUCGUCCGCUCUGGGUUAGUCGGGUCCUAAGCUGAGGCCGACAGGCGUAGGCGAUGGAUAACAGGUUGAUAUUCCUGUACCACCUAUAAUCGUUUUAAUCGAUGGGGGGACGCAGUAGGAUAGGCGAAGCGUGCGAUUGGAUUGCACGUCUAAGCAGUAAGGCUGAGUAUUAGGCAAAUCCGGUACUCGUUAAGGCUGAGCUGUGAUGGGGAGAAGACAUUGUGUCUUCGAGUCGUUGAUUUCACACUGCCGAGAAAAGCCUCUAGAUAGAAAAUAGGUGCCCGUACCGCAAACCGACACAGGUAGUCAAGAUGAGAAUUCUAAGGUGAGCGAGCGAACUCUCGUUAAGGAACUCGGCAAAAUGACCCCGUAACUUCGGGAGAAGGGGUGCUCUUUAGGGUUAACGCCCAGAAGAGCCGCAGUGAAUAGGCCCAAGCGACUGUUUAUCAAAAACACAGGUCUCUGCUAAACCGUAAGGUGAUGUAUAGGGGCUGACGCCUGCCCGGUGCUGGAAGGUUAAGAGGAGUGGUUAGCUUCUGCGAAGCUACGAAUCGAAGCCCCAGUAAACGGCGGCCGUAACUAUAACGGUCCUAAGGUAGCGAAAUUCCUUGUCGGGUAAGUUCCGACCCGCACGAAAGGCGUAACGAUUUGGGCACUGUCUCAACGAGAGACUCGGUGAAAUCAUAGUACCUGUGAAGAUGCAGGUUACCCGCGACAGGACGGAAAGACCCCGUGGAGCUUUACUGUAGCCUGAUAUUGAAAUUCGGCACAGCUUGUACAGGAUAGGUAGGAGCCUUUGAAACGUGAGCGCUAGCUUACGUGGAGGCGCUGGUGGGAUACUACCCUAGCUGUGUUGGCUUUCUAACCCGCACCACUUAUCGUGGUGGGAGACAGUGUCA
rnacentral:rRNA from 1 species